UCACUUUGUAAUUUUUUUUUAAUUUUGAUAACCUCCUAGCUUUCCUAGCCCAGGAAUAAGGACGGAUUCAAGAGAAGGCCACAAGUCCAAAACCCGUCAGAUCAUACGCUCGAAAGACGGCCCAACUUCACAAGCCCGGGACCAGCAACCCAGAGCAAUUCGAAUCAGAUACGGACCCAGGCCCAAUAGGGAAGCAGGCCCAGUCACUCACCAACCCUGUUCGCAUGCGUGACAGGGAGAAUUAAAUGGCCGCUUGGCGUGGAGAAGGGGUCUGACACGUCCGUACGUACGGACCUGAGUGACAUGGACAAGUAGCACUAUAGAAUGGGGAGGUCUUCUCUUUCAGGGUUCUCUUCUUCCUCUCUCUCCUUCCUAGACUCCAUUUUUUACCUUCUCUCUACAACUCUUGCUUAAAUAUACUACUCUAAUCCAUAAAAUCUGACUUGAACGUCGAAGGGUCUCCACCGAGGGCAUUCCCGAUAGACCCCUGACCAUUUUUCCCUAUUUUGCAGGUCUCAUCGUCAAAUAUAGAACAUUGAGAGACCCAUUUGACGGACCCAUAUGAUGGACCAAGAAGAAAACCAGACCCAUCAGGGAGCCCAGAGAAAAAAAGAUUUAUCAAUUGGCGCCGUCUGUGGGAAACGAAAGGGAUUUUACUCUCUUUAAAGUUUCCAGAUCCACCCAUUGAGAUUCACAUAAGGUAUGAAAGCUUGUGCAAAUAACCCAGCUGAAGAGAAAGAUUCAUCGUGUUAAAAAAUAUUUUGAUAAUAUUUCAGAUAGUUUGUUUUAAUAUUUAUUAGGUUUUAUUACGGCUGAUUUUUUUCUUUGAAAUCUGGUGAAGCAAAAUUUCAGAUCGAAGUACUUGUUUAUAAGUAUAAAUUCUAAUCUUUUUUGUAAAAGGAAAAAAGAGUGAGUAAUACAUAUAUUUGUUGAAAUUGUGAGGUGGCCGUGUGUAUAUUGUCAAGAUAAUAGGGGCAGAUCGGCUGUAAAAUUCCAGGUUAGCAUGUUAGAGAGAAAAUUAAUAAGUGAAAAAUAGACGAGGUCAGACUAACAUUUCAGGUCGGAUAGGGCAUGAGGUCGGAUGGAGCACGAUCCAUGGCCAUCUAACUGGAUUGCACAGCAACGUCCCUCAAGUAUCGGGGCAACAUGGAGACAAUAAGAAAUGAUCAAAUGUCUAGACUGAUCGAGGUGGAUGAACUCAAACUCUGUAUGCCGUCCAACUUGAAGAUGAGGUCGGUUGGGUUACGAGGUUGGCACUCCUUCAACCUCUGAUUGAACAGACCUGCUUUAGCACCAGGACGCUUGAUCGAAGCAUCGAGGAAUCUAUAUGGUCAAACCCGUAGGUCGGACACCCAAGAGCUGGACAGCUCCGGAGCUUGAAGAAAUCUCCUCCUUCCUUCACCAACUCCUUCACAAUUCCUCCUCUUCCUCUCCCUCUGCUAAAUUCAUGCACCAUGCUCUCUCUCUUCUCCUUCUCCCCCGCUGCCGCUGCCGACACAGACUAAACCUCCGACUGAAUUGUUAUUUGGCCGCUCCCAAGAUGGGAGUCACAAUGGCAAUUCAUCUCUUGCUUACAAUCAAACCCUAGAUCAAAACAGACAAUCAUCACUUUCCCAAGCAAGAUCUCCCAACCUAGAUCGACUUUCAACCAUUUCAAAAGGAUCCAACUCCAAGACAUCCAAUGUCAGGUAUUGAGAAUGUCUAAGGAACCACGCGGCCAGCAUCGGCGGCAAUGCUUUUGACGGCUGUGGUGAGUUCAUGCCUGGGGGAGAAGAAGGCACAAUCGAAGCUUUAAAAUGUGCGGCUUGUGACUGCCACCGUAACUUCCACCGGAAAGAGGUGAAUGGGGAGACUCAAUUUAGUCCGAGUUCGCAAAGAAGUUCGUUCGUCCUUCAAAUGCCACCACCACCACCAUAUGUUUUAUACAAGAAAAGGUUUAGGACCAAACUCACUCAAGGACAGAAGGAUAAAAUGAUGGAGUUUGCAGAGAGGAUCGGGUGGAGGAUCAGUAAGCCGGAAGAGGAGGAGGAGCAAAAUUAAUGAGAAAAUGAACCUGCACUCAUCUGAAGUGCUGCUCGCCACAUUUUGGAUAAGCAUGCCGAUUGAUGAUUGAAAUAAGGAGGAAGCAACAUGAGUUGAAAACUCUCAGGUCAUUUCUCAAAAAUAUUUUUUUUACUUAGUCAGGGAUGUGGUCACUUUCCCUGGCUUUGUAGACUGCAUUUACCUUGAUGCCCUGACAAGCUGCAACUUGACAAUGGCUUGAGUGAUGUAAUAACCAUCAAGAAAAGAAAUUGGUCAGAUGCUGUGGAACCCACACGUACAGAUGGAAGCAUGUUACGAGAUUUUGUUUGUGUUGAAAAUGCCAAGUUGCACAGCAAUGUUGUACCGCAUGCAGUAAAUUUCUUUCAUUUGAGGACGGGACCCAUCCCCAGCCAAAAAUCCAUGAACAGUCCUCUGGAAGUUUGGAUACUCCGUAUUCAUUCAUAUGCCUUCUUGCUUCAGCUGCUUCAUUCCAUUCCCCAGCAGCAGCAUGAACGUUUGCUAAGUGAAUGUGCCGGCCACCAUGAUCGGGGUCCAAUUCAAUUAGGAAUUUCCCUAUCUGCUUACCUAAUUCUGUAUUUCCAUGAAUCUGACAGGCAUUUAGUAGUGCUCCCCAUAUGACAGCAUUUGGUUUUACUGGCAUUCGCUCAAUCAAAUCUGUUGCUCUCUUCAGCAAACCUGCUCGACUGAGUAGAUCAACCAUGCAUCCAUAGUGCUCUACUGUUGGGUCCAAGCUAUGAACUUUCUCCAUGCUGUCAAAUAGUGAUUUUCCUUCAUCAACCAAUCCUGCAUAACUGCAUGCUGUCUGAUGAUUGAAAUAAGGUACAUAUAUCUUGCCACGUGUCAUUAGCAUAAUUGCUAUUGGAGAAAUUUACAAGCCCUUAAUUACUUAUCUUAAAUACUCAUGAUAUAUAUGUAUGCUCCAGUUAUCCAAAUCGUACUUUGCUGUGUAUAUUUAUUAUUUUGCUUCAGAAUUUCAAGAAUGUCUUUAGUUAUUGGCAAUUAUUUUUAAUUAAACAUUAUUGAACACAAAUGAUUUCAUAGAUUAUUAAAAGGCAUGCUUCGCAUGUAAAUAGUAAGACUAAAUUUAACUAAAAUAUACCUCUAUGAGUUUAGAUAUCCUGAUAAUUGCUUACAUUUUAUAGAUCGAAAAAUUCUGGAGAAAUUUACACGUGCAAAUAUUAUUUAUUGAACCUUUGAAUUGCAUGAGUUAAUAUUGUUAGUUAGAGCUAAUAUUUACGUUCAUCUGAAAUAUGAAACUAAGUGACAUGUGCGACACAUUAUUGAUGAAUAUUAUUGAAUUAACAACGAGCAUCCUCGUUAUAUAUGCUCUGUGCAAUAUUUUAUUUUGCAGAAAAAUCCUGAAUCUCGCUCAAAGACCUCAGGCAAGCACAAGACCGGGAUCCCCAAGAUCUCCUGGCAUCAGAAGACCUCCUUGAGACAUAGAGACCUCUUGGAGGUAGAAAGACCGGGAUUCCCAAGAUCUCCCGGAUUCAAGACAAGGAUCCCCAAGAUCUCCUGGCAUCAGAAGACCUCCUUGAGACAUAGAGACCUCCUUGAGACAUAGAGACCUCCUGGAGGUAGAAGACCUCCUUAAGACAUAGAGACCUCCUAGAGGUAGAAGACCGGGAUCCCCAAGAUCUCCCGGAUUCAAGACCAGGAUCCCCAAGAUCUCCUGGCAUCAGAAGACCUCCUUGAGAUAUAGAGACCUCCUGGAGGUAGAAGACCAGGAUCCCCAAGAUCUCCUGGCAUCAGAAGACCUCCUUGAGACAUAGAGACCUCCAGGAGGCAGAAGACCUCCUUGAGACAUAGAGACCUCCUGGAGGUAGAAGACCUCCUUGAGACAUAGAGACCUCCUGGAGGUCGAAGACCAGGAUCCUCAAGAUCUCCUGGCAUCAAAAGACCUCCUUGAGACAUAGAGACCUCCUGGAGGUAGAAGACUAGGAUCCCCAAGAUCUCCUAGCAUCAGAAGACCUCAUUGAGACAUAGAGACCUCCUGGAGGUAGAAGACUAGGAUCCCCAAGACCUCCUGGCAUCAGAAGACCUCCCUGAGACAUAGAGACCUCCUAGAGGUAGAAGACCGGGAUCCCCAAGAUCUCCCAGAUUCAAGACCAGGAUCCCCAAGAUCUCCUGGCAUCAGAAGACCUCCUUAAGACAUAGAGACCUCAUGGAGGUAGAAGACCGGGAUCCCCAAGAUCUCCCGGAGCUACAAGUCCAGGAUUCCCAAGAUCUUCUGGCAUCAAACGGCCGAGAUCCCCAAGAUCUCUUGGUGACAUAAGCAAAAAUAACUCAUAAGAACAUAGUUCCGACCCCACAUAAAAGAUGGGGGCGAGGGACCAUAAAUGAAAAGCUAAACUCCGACCUCCCAAAGGAGCUCGAGUCAUAAAGUAAAGAGACUUUGAUUUCACAGCGGCGCCAAAGCGCCAAAGCACCAUGCCGAUCUCAAGAAAAUGAGCUCAGUACUGGUAAAUUCAAUAGACAAACCGAAUUAAGGCAAGGCGAGUCCUAAGCAAAAUGCAUACCAAAAUACAGAACCAAAUAAAGAAUCAGGGACAAUCAUAAAAGGCACCGACCUCGAGAAUUGACCGCUAGCACUGAACUAACUCAGCUGGCCUAGAAAGAGAUCCAGGCAGCAAAGAGCUCGCAAAACGCUCGAGGGCAGACAACCCAUAAAACACUCGGGGGCAAAAAACCCAACCAACCGAUACAUACACGAGAGCCCAAUGCUCAGAUAAAGAAUCAAGGAGGCAGGACGGUCCAAUCCAAAACAGAUAGUCCGACCUCUUCAAUCUAGGGUCGAUCUCCCCAGAAGCUUGGAGGGACCUCAUACCUGGAUCGGCAAGGCUAUAAGCCUAUAAAAGAAAAAGUUAAAACCGAACAAAAAAGCAGUCAGACUGAAACACAGCCCGAACAAGGCUCGACAAGAAAACAAGAAAUUAAGUCUGACUUCACAGAAGAGCUCGGGGCACCAAAGUGAGGAAGGCGAAAUUCCGAACUCCUGAGCCCGUAGCACAGGCAGCAUCACAAGUCAUAGGCGUAAAAGCCUAAGCAAAGAACAAAAAUCCGAGCUCCUUAAUCCGCGGUCUGGACGGACUCACGACAAGUAAACAACCAAGCUGAAUAAAGCUGAGCAUAGAGGACAUACCAGAAAGCCGAGCUCCCUACAUGAAAAGGCCUGCAAAUGCAGAAAAACACAAAGGACUAAAUGAAAGCGAGAGACCCUGCUCACCGCUCGGAUUAACUCACAGUAAACAAACACUUAGCAAAGAUGACUCUGGGAGAGGAAAACGACAAAAGACCGAGCUCCCUAUCCUAGUGGAGCACACAACUCAGACUACCCUAAUCGCCAAAAGGUUACAUCCAGAGAGAUAAGAUGUCUGAGCUCGUAGCGAGAACAAGAUUUAUAAAAUUGUCUAAAACGGGGCAGGCAUGCAAAUAAGACAUUUCUCUAGGUAUUAUAUAUCCGAGCUCAUAGCAUUGACGAGGUCAUGAACCAAAAACAGAAAUGCCCUCAUAAGAAUAAGAAAAACUUGCAAGUAAGAACCUUAAUCAGACUCCGAGCUCUUAGCCCGGAUCAGUCCGACUAUCAAAGUCUCAGUAGAGCUAGCCUGGACCAUCAAUUAAGUAAAAUUGACAAAGCCAGAAGACAGUCUAAGAGAAAAAUAAUGAUGAGGUACAUGCCGAGGUGAAAUAUCAUUCAUCAUCGAACAAACAUCUCCAUAUCGCCAUACAUUCGAACAUCAAAGUAAAGAGACAAAAAUAAUAAAAAGGCAAGGAAAGGAUACUUUCGACAAGAGCAGUUCUCAGACCACACGGUCAUGAAUAGAGUUUAAGGAUUUACCCCCUCACCAGUCAUGGAAUAACUGCCAAGGAGGUAAAGGGGCAAUUGAUAACCUCCUGGCUUUCCUAGCCCAGGAAUAAGGACGGAUCCAAGAGAAGGCCACAAGUCCAAAGCCCGUCAGAUCAUACGCUCGAAAGACGGCCCAACUUUACAAGCUCGGGACCAACAACCCAGGGCAAUUCGAAUCAGAUACGGACCCAGGCCCAGUCACUCACCAACCCUGUUCGCAUGCGUGACAAGGAGAAUUAAAUGGCCACUUGGCAUGGAGAAGGGGUCUGACACGUCCGUUCGUACGGACCUGAGUGACAUGGACAGGUAGCACUAUAAAAUGGAGAGGUCUUCUCUUUCAGGGUUCUCUUCUUCCUCUCUCUCAUUCCUAGACUCCAUUUUUUACAUUCUCUCUACAACUCUUGCUUAAAUAUACUACUCUAAUCCAUAAAUUCUGACUUGAACAUUGGAGGGUCUCCAUCGGGGGCAUUCCCGGUAGACCCCUGACCAUUUUUUCAUAUUUUGCAGGUCUCUUCGUCAAAUAGAACAUUGAGAGACCCAUUUGACGGACCCAUAUGAUGGACCAAGAAGAAAACCAGACCCAUCAGGGAGCCCAGAGGAAAAAAGAUUUAUCAAAUUUGAAUAAUUUUACCUAUUACCCAUAUAAAAACUAUUUAAU
rnacentral:lncRNA from 1 species